AGUCGUAACAAGGUUUCCGUAGGUGAACCUGCGGAAGGAUCAUUAAUUAUGUUAAAGCGCCUUACCUUAGGGUUUCCUCUGGGGUAAGUGAUUGCUUCUACACUGUGAAAAUUUGGCUGAGAGACUCAGACUGGUCAUGGGUAGACCUAUCUGGGGUUUGAUCGAUGCCACUCCUGGUUUCAGGAGCACCCUUCAUAAUAAACCUAGAAAUUCAGUAUUAUAAAGUUUAAUAAAAAACAACUUUUAACAAUGGAUCUCUUGGUUCUCGCAUCGAUGAAGAACGUAGCAAAGUGCGAUAACUAGUGUGAAUUGCAUAUUCAGUGAAUCAUCGAGUCUUUGAACGCAGCUUGCACUCUAUGGUUUUUCUAUAGAGUACGCCUGCUUCAGUAUCAUCACAAACCCACACAUAACAUUUGUUUAUGUGGUGAUGGGUCGCAUCGCUGUUUUAUUACAGUGAGCACCUAAAAUGUGUGUGAUUUUCUGUCUGGCUUGCUAGGCAGGAAUAUUACGCUGGUCUCAGGAUCUUUUUUUUUGGUUCGCCCAGGAAGUAAAGUACAAGAGUAUAAUCCAGUAACUUUCAAACUAUGAUC
rnacentral:misc_RNA from 1 species